rnacentral:rRNA from 1 species
GGAUUGGCUUUGGAGAGCGAGAUAAUGAUAAAAAGAGACUGUCGGGGGCAUCCGUACUACGACGCGAGAGGUGAAAUUCUAUGACCGUCGUAGGACGAACAACCGCGAAAGCAUUUGCCAAGAAUGUUUUCAUUGAUCAAGAACGAAAGUUAGAGGAUCGAAGGCGAUCAGAUACCGCCCUAGUUCUAACCCUAAACGAUGCUAACUAGCAAUCCGCCGUCGUUAUUCCAU